rfam:Ictidomys tridecemlineatus contig082750, whole genome shotgun sequence.
UGGGUUGUGGCUCAGUAGCAGAGUGCUUGCCUCGCACAUGUGAGACACUGAGUUCGAUUCUCAGCACCACAU